GUUUGAAUUAGAGUGGAUUUGCCACAUCCUGUUCUUCCAACGAUUCCCGUUUUCAGGCCUCCUGGAAAAGUGCAUGUCAGUCCAUGCAGCACCAUGGGCAAAUGUGGCCCAUAUCGUACUUGCAGAUUACAUAUAGUAAUCUCUCCCCGAGAAGGCCAUGAUUUCUCAGGCCGAGUUGAUUCAAUCACAAGAGGUGGUUCACUGGGGAUGUUUAUGUAUUGAAGCAUUCUCUCCACAGAUAUCAUUUUGUUCUCGAGAUCGCAAAGCGUCCAUAUUAAAGUGGAUUGCAGAGUAUUUAGACUGAGUGCAUAUGUAAUCGCCAGUCCUGCAAAGCCUUUUAGAAGCAGAAUACCAAGAAAUACGUGGGAGAUUUUUAGUUGUGAAUGCUGAACCAAAACAAAAUCAAUAGUAAAAGGGUGGUGACUUACUUGGAUUAAUGACUCCCUCAGGGACAGAAACUAAGAUAACAAGUGAACAAGCGAAUGCGAAAGUGGAUAAAAGUUCAAGGCGGAAGCAGAGCCAUUCCAUUGCACCGGUCGAAUGGAACCUCAGCCGUGAAUAACAAUCACUAAGUCUCAUGAUGUCACCACGGAAUCUUGGUUCUUGAUCAAAACUCCUGAUAGUUGUUAUCCCUGAAAGUGUUUCAGAAAAAUGAUGUACCAUAGGAGACCUGCUUAUUCCAGCUAAUCUUGCGAGUUCUCGAGCUGCAGAUAUGUAAUAUUGCUGCGUCCAUAGAUUAAAUUAUCAGGUGUGAGAACCACAAAAACAUUAGUACGUUCCAUAUUAACAAGUAAGAAGCUAAACGUUGAUUAAUGACAUGAAUUAUGAAAAUUACCCGGUACCAGGCACAUGCAGCGACGACAGGGAUGAAGAUAAUAAGGACCUGCCAAGCGACCUGUACCAUCACUCCCAAAAUCCCCAAAAUGUUAAUAGCUGCGAUAGCAACAUAUGCAAAUUGACCGGGUAAUCUCAAAUCUGCGACACUUUGGUCUGUAGAAGCCUAAACCAAGAUUGAAAACAGAGUAAUCAGGUAACAGAAUUCGUGUAGGAUCUAUUUUGAAUAUGGUCACUUACCAAACAUGUGGAGUUACUUACUCUAUUUAAAAUUCUCCCCAUUGGGGUGGAAUCAAAGAAUGACAUGGAGGCACGGAAAAUGCGGAGAUGCAUUUGGGUGAAGAGUUCAGUAGCAAUCUUGAAACCAGUCAUUGCAACCAGCAAAGCUCUGAUGAGUAUGCAGAAGGAGCUUGCGAUCGCUAGAACUACAUAGACUAGAAUCAAUGUGAAGCCGCUCACUGGAGGUUCCACGUCCUUGGAAACAGGAGUCACCCAAGUCAUCCAAUAGUUGCUCCCAAUGCUUAGAAGCUGAAAGAGAACCUGUACCACCAAUAUUAAAGGAAUAACUGCUCCUCCGUAUGCUAGUGCCAUGUAUUUUUUGUACACAGUGAACCCAACUUUUCCCUUCUCCCUUUCCUCUUCUUGAACUAGUUGUCCGCUUGGCUUGUUAUCCGAAUCAAUCUCUUGUUUUUCUUUGUGAUGUAGUACUCCGUUUUCUUUAUUCGUAGUUGAUUUUUCAGAAGCAUAGCCUGUUUCAUAUGAAUCAAUUGUUGCUAAGGCUUCAGUGUGAGCCCCUACAAGUUCCAUGAAAUCUGUUCCUGAAUCGAGAAUCUCAUUGUAUUUCCCCGCUUGUGUUAUCUUGCCAUCUUUCAUGACCUACAAAAUUUAAUUCUAAAUCUAUAAACAUGUGAUUAGAAAAACCAUCGGAAAGAUAGUAGAGGAAUAAGUCACAAACCAGUAUAAGAUCAGCUUUAGGCAGGAAUUCAACUUGAUGAGUGACAUAUAUGACUGUCUUGUGUUUCAAAACCCCCAGCAGAACUUCCUAUUUAAAAGAACAAUGAGAGAUCGUAUCAAAUAUCAGAAGCCAGAAUAAAGUAUAUUGUAUGAUUUUUAUGUACUUCAAGAUAACCAGAAGAAAGGGAGCUUUAUACCUUAAAGAGAUGUGAUCCGGUAUGAGCGUCUACUGCACUAAAAGGGUCAUCAAACAGGUAAAUAUCUGCAUUUUGGUAGAGAGCACGGGCAAUUUGUAUACGCUGCUUUUGCCCACCACUUAAGUUGAUACCUCUUUCCCCAAUAACUGUCUGGUCAUGGAACGGAAGUAUCUCCAAGUCUUUAUUUAAAGAACAUGCUUCAAGCACCCUCUCGUACCACUCUCUUUCCAUUGGCUUACCAAACAGAAUGUUCUCUUCGACUUUGCCGCUUUGGAUCCAAGGUGAUUGUGCAAUGUAUGCCUUUCUUCCACAAACUUUAAGAUUUCCAGAUAUUUUGGGAACUUCACCCAGUAUGGAUGAGAGUAAGCUUGAUUUCCCCGAGCCAACAGUACCACAAAUAGCAACAUGCAUACCCUGAGAGACUUUGAAAUUCAUGUCUCUCAAUGUAGGGAUUGGGGAAGAGUCGUCCCAGGAGAAAGUACCAUUGCUGAUUUCCACAGCCACUUCUGAACUUCCACUAGGAAGCCUACCCACAACAUCUUGCUGCAGAUCAUCUAGACAGAGAAAAGAUGCAAUCCUGUUAAGAGAUACCUUAGUUUGAACAAUCAUCGAGAUUGUUUCGGGAAGUUUGUAGAUUGGGCCUUGCAGAAUCCGGAAAGUUGCAAGAGCCGCCAGUAUCUUCCCUGAUUCAAGAGGAAUCUUCAGCAAUAAACAUGCGCCAAAAGCUGUUGCAGAUAUGAAAGAAGGUGCAGUCCACAAAACAGAGCUGAUAGCAGACGAAUUGUACACAAAUUUUUUUAGCCAGCCUGCUUCGAUAUGUCUCAGUUCAAGAAUCUUAGAAAGAAACUUCAUCUCCCAUCCCUGAAGUUUGAGAAUCUUCAUGUUCAGUAAGACCUCAGAUGUUUUCUUCAUUCUGUUGUCUUUGGACUUCAUCAAACUGCUCUGAAACUUCUCUUCCAACUUUGCAAAGGGAUAAUUUGCCAGCAUAACUAAAAUUGUUGCAGGAAAAGCUGCAAUUGAUCCCAAUCCGAGGCUUUUGUACAAAAUCCAUAAGGCCAAACUAACUUGUAAAACAAGUAUCCAUGGAUCAUGCAUAAACCAACUAAAAGCACCGAUCCUGUCAGCAUCUACUGCCAUGAGGUUUAUAAUCUCGCCACUAGUGUGUCCUUGCUUCGAAUGACAUGGAAGGGUCAACCCCUUUUCGUAGAUCAUAGAAACCAGGACCGAUCUCAUCCCAAGCCCAGCUUUUGCCCCCCUAAAGAACCAUUGCCUCCGUGUUUGACAUUCCACAAGCUUAGCAACUAAGAAAGUUGUUACUAACACAUAACCUUGGUUUUUAUAUUGUCCGUUACCGUUCAGGAACUGAACGAAAUUAUCCAUGAGAUAUGGUGCAACGUAGCAAGACACCGUGUAGACAAAAGCAAACAGAGCUGACAAAACAAAAUCUCGCCACACUGAGAGGAAGAGAGCCUUGAUUAGCUUAAAUGUGGUGAUCCUUCUUUCACCAUCGUCCCAUUGAAGCUUACUCCUAAAUAUCCAAAAUAGGCUCUCAGCUCUGUCACUCCGGUCAACUUGAGGAACAUCCUUGCUGUCUAUGAUUUUCUCAUUUCCUAAGGUAAUCAAAGGACUCAUCCAAGAGAAACUCAUGAGGCUUAGAAUCCCAGCUUUUGAAAAAGGUGCAGUGGCCUCUUCAUUCUCACUAGAUUCAGCUCUGGUCAAAAGUGGUUCUUUGAGAGGGUUGAUCCUUUCACCUUCUCCUUUCUUCCACAAGCACGAACAACAGAGAAACAAGCCAGCGCAGACGCCCACCAAAUCAGAAAUUACAAUGUGAACUGAGACCAUUUCUUGCUUCUUGUAUAGAACGAAUUCUACCACAAGCCGGUAGCAAGAAACCACGAAAUAGAAAACCCACCAUACGCUAAGCAAAAAUAGUAAUUUUUGCUCACGAGAAGUAGUGUAUCGACCACACAGGUAAAUAGAGAUGGUACCCCAAGUAAGGGCAGCCAACAGAAGAUCUAAGAAAGCCCAACCAUUUGUAUGCCAGUGAACGCAACUUAGCAACGAAAACACAGAAUAAAACACAGAUAAUGACACACAACAAAUAAGAACCAGUUUAUUAUACGAUAAAGACAUGUGUUUAAACUCUUCAUUCAUGAUAGCUUCACAAGCUACUCUCUUCUUGCAAAGCCAUGAACCAAAAAGAAUUAGCAACAACACCAGAUUCAAGAAAAACGAAAGUACAGAAAGGUAGAUGGGCUGGAAGAGGAGAAAAUCGAUAGGAUUUUCCAUCAGGAAAAUGAGUAUUGACCAAAAAUGUUCAGUCUCAGGACAAGAUAUAUAUAGGCUACUGAGUCAAUAAAUAAUACUAGUUUAGAAGACCAAGACAAGCACAAGAAUAAAUUAUAUACAUACCAUGACGCAGCAACCUAACACAUAUGAUGAAUUUUGUAAUGUUUAAAGACUUGGACCACCUUCGCAGAAACUCCCGUAUGAUAGUCCACCGAAGCAAACAAAGGACCAUUCUGGAAACAUAGACAGAUGAAAAGAAGCAGAUCCAUCAAAAUUUGGAUGAGAAAAAUCACAUUUUUGAGCAAAAACAGAUGAUACUUAGUUACUGGUGGUAGAAAGUAAAUUUGAUCACAGAAAUCAGAUUACUGUCUCUGAUAAACACGAUCAGACGGUGAAUCUAAUUAUCAGCUUAAGAGAUGGGAGGUGGUGGUUUGGAAAGGAGUUUCAUUGCUAAGUUCCCUGAGAUACUAAAAUCGGGAAAUCCAUAAGAGUGAUUGUUGAUACAAUUAAAACUACCAAAUCCCGGAGGAAACAAUUUUUUGAGGGAAAAAUCAAAUACCAUUUUUGUACUACAGUGAAGAUUUCUCUUGUUCUUGAGUUGUUGGAACUUGUUGUUCAUCAUUACCAGGUUUAUCAUCUUUAAGAGUUGUCUGAGACCCAACACGAUGAACAAAUUGGUAAGAGCGACACGUGAUUCCACCAGAAAUUUGUGGCUCCAAUCCGACAAGUGUUACAUCCCGCCUGCGUCACACACGAUCGGUACUCUAGAUUGCUGAACGGAGACGAGCCCACAAACCUAACGGCUGAGAUUAUCCCCGGAGAAUUUUAUCAGAAUCGUCGUCGUCUCUCUCUUUCUCUCUCAGAGUGAAACAACAGUAUUGAAUAUUUAACGUUAUAAAAAAUGUCAAAAAGAAGAAACAAUAACUAACAGCUUGGAGUAACAGAGACCAAAACGUGUUGUAAAGUAUCUAGAAAACUGAGAAAUUCGUUCCUCAAACAGUAAUGUUUUUACAAAUUUAAGUUCUGUUUUGGAUUAGAAGAAACACAACAUGGCAAGAUUAUUAAUCCCAUAGAUCUUUGAAUCUAAUAGCUUCUUUUGAAUCUUGAAUCCGAACUCGCUGUGUACUCUGCCACAAGCUUUGAAAAUGACGACGACUUGUCUUCCAGCAAUCUCGCCGGUGAAUCGUGUUCUUCUAUUAGCCCUGCAUUUUGAUAUAUAACCAAUCUUAAUGUAAGCCUUUCUUCUGAUAGCAUAGAGGUAAUAAAAAAAAAAAGUGUAUGAUCAUUACCUUGGUCUAGGAGCAGGACCAUAUCACUGUCUAUAACAGAUGAUAUUCUGUGUGCGAUUGUUAUCACUGUACAGUCCCAGAAAUGUUGUCUCAGUGUCUCCUGUAUCAGAUUAUCAGUCGCUGUAUCUACAGAUGCUGUGGCUUCAUCAAGCACCAAUACUUUGCUUCUCUUUAGCAAGACUCGUCCCAGACACACUAGUUGUCUCUGACCAACACUCCAGUUUUGUCCAUUCUCACUUACUGCAAUACAAAACGCUCAGGCCAAGUACAGAUAUGUUUAAGAGAUUCAACAUGACUCAUUUUUAACACUAGUUUUAUUAAUACUAACCAGGAGAAUCUAGCUUUAGUUCUUUCUUCCUUAUUUCGUCCCCAAGUUGACACUUGUCGAGUGCCUGAAAUCAGAGCAACAAAAAUCGUUUGAGAAAAUUACUCUUGCUAUCUGCAAAAGAACAUAGAAACAAGAGCCAACGAACCUCCCAGAUCUGGUCAUCAGCGUACUCCUCAAGAGGGUCCAAGUUACUACGAACCGUGCCUUCAAACAUGGUUGGUUCUUGAGGAAUGAUACUUAGUCUGGAACGCAAGUCAUGCAGCCCAAUGGUCAAGAUGUUUAUUCCGUCAACUCUGAUUUCUCCGGCUGUAGGUUCCACAAUCCUAAAAAGAGUUUGAAUUAGAGUGGAUUUGCCACAUCCUGUUCUUCCAACGAUUCCCGUUUUCAGGCCUCCUGGAAAAGUGCAUGUCAGUCCACGCAGCACCAUAGGCAGAUGUGGCCCAUAUCGUACUUGCAGAUUACAGAUAGUAAUCUCCCCACGAGAUGGCCACGUUUUGUCAGGCCGAGUUGAUUCAAUCACAAGAGGUGGUUCACUGGGGAUGUUUAUGUAUUGAAGCAUUCUCUCCACAGAUAUCAUUUUGUUCUCGAG
rnacentral:lncRNA from 1 species